rnacentral:hammerhead_ribozyme from 1 species
AUCCAACUGAUGAGUCCUAAAUAGGACGAAAUGUUCUUGGUGGAU